rnacentral:misc_RNA from 1 species
UACAGGUUUUGCCCAACUCCUGACUGCCCUUCUGUAUAUCGAGUUGCUGGUCCUGAGACAUCUAAACCAUUUGUCUGUGGAGCGUGUUUUGCAGAAACUUGUACUGGGUGCCAUUUGGAGCAUCAUCCAUACCUUUCAUGUGAGAGGUAUGCAGCAUUCAAGGAAGAUCCCGACUCGUCAUUGAAGGAGUGGUGCAGGGGAAGAGAGAGCGUGAAAAACUGCCCGGUUUGUGGCUAUACAAUUGAAAAGGUCGAUGGCUGCAACCAUGUUGUUUGCAAGUGCGGGAGGCAUAUCUGCUGGGUCUGUUUAGAGUCCUUUAACAGUGGUCCUGACUGCUAUGGCCACUUGACUGCUGUACAUGGGGCCAUAAGCUUUUAGUUCACUUACAUUUUCUACUUGUUUUCUAGUCUUGUAUACAAGUAUAAAUAUAAUUAUAAACAAUAGUAUCCACGGCCACCACCAUCCUGGCU